AAGCAUAACAGAGUGUCGUCAAUAGUGUCAGGGACUGGUGCUUGUCCAUGGGAUUGGUCUCAAGUUGGGCCAGUUAUUGGUCGGCCAUUCCCUUUGUCUCUGCUCCAUCUUUGUCCCUGCAUUUCUUGACAGGACAAACUUCGGGUCAAAGUUUUGUGGAUGGGUUGGUGCCCAUCUACUGGGUCCUGCCAGGCUGGGAUCCUCUGCAGGUGAACCACUUCAGAGAAGAUAUAGCUGCUGGUAAAUGGCUUUGGUUUCCAGACACAAUUUUCCAACUUCACAUUCACAGAUAAACAAAACAGAAGUGAUGGUUUGUAUAUGCUUGGCCCAGGGAGUGACACUAUUAGGAGGUGUUGGAGUAUGUGUGUCACUGUGGGUGUGGGCUUAAGACCUUCACCCUAGCUGCCUGGAAGUCAGUAUUCUGCUAGAAGCUUUCAGAUGAAGAUGUAGAACUUUCAGCUCCUCCUGCACGAUGCCAGCCAGAAUCCCAACAUGUUCCACCUUGAUGAUAAUGGACUGAACCUCUGAACCUGUAAGCCAGCCCCAAUUAAAUGUUGUCCUUAUAAGAGUUGUCUUGGUCAUGGUGUCUGUUCACAGCAGUAAAACCCUAACUAAGACAGAG
rnacentral:lncRNA from 1 species